rnacentral:rRNA from 16 species
GUGGUUAUUACAGCAAAGAGGAUACACCUGUUCCCAUUCCGAACACAGAAGUUAAGCUCUUUAGCGCCGAUGGUACUUGGUGGGAAGCUGCCUGGGAGAGUAGGACGUAGCCGCGU